rnacentral:rRNA from 1 species
GCGCACCAGGCGAGAAAACUUCACACUGUGCGAAAAGCACGAUGAGGGAAUCCCAAGUGCUUGCACGUAAGUGUAAGCUGUUUCUCUGUCUAAAACGCAGAGAGAGUAAGGGCUGGGUAAGACGGGUGCCAGCCGCCGCGGUAAUACCUGCAGCUCAAGUGGUGACCGCUAUUAUUGGGCCUAAAACGUCCGUAGCCGGUUUAAUAAAUGCCUGGGUAAAUGGUGUAGCUUAACUAUACGAAUUCCGGGUAGACUGUUAAACUUGAGACCGGGAGAAGUUAGAGGUACUCCUGGGGUAGAGGUGAAAUUCUGUAAUCCUAGGGGGACCACCAGUGGCGAAGGCGUCUAACUAGAACGGGUCUGACGGUGAGGGACGAAGCCCUGGGGCGCAAAC